AUUUAUAUAGUUUAAUAAAAACAUCAUACUUUCAUUAUGAAAAUAGAACUAUUCUUAUAAAUU
rnacentral:tRNA from 1 species